AACGAACGCUGGCGGCAUGCCUAACACAUGCAAGUCGAACGAGACCUUCGGGUCUAGUGGCGCACGGGUGCGUAACGCGUGGUAACCUGCCCUUAGGUUCGGAAUAACUCCCCGAAAGGGGUGCUAAUACCGGCUAAUGUCUUCGGACCAAAGAUUUAUCGCCUUUGGAUGGGCCCGCGUUGGAUUAGCUAGUUGGUAGGGUAAAAGCCUACCAAGGCGACGAUCCAUAGCUGGUCUGAGAGGAUGAUCAGCCACACUGGGACUGAGACACGGCCCAGACUCCUACGGGAGGCAGCAGUGGGGAAUAUUGGACAAUGGGCGAUAGACUGAUCCAGCAAUGCCGCGUGAGUGAUGAAGGCCUUAGGGUUGUAAAGCUCUUUUACCCGUGAUGAUAAUGACAGUACCGGGAGAAUAAGCUCCGGCUAACUCCGUG
rnacentral:rRNA from 1 species